AGGGAUGUGGCACAGCUUUGUAGCGCAUUUGUGUUGGGUUAAAAUAGCACAGGUUCAAAUCCCGCCAUCCCUA
rnacentral:tRNA from 1 species